AUUCCACCUUGAGAAUGCUCAAUCUUGUCUGACCUCAGGCAUUCAGCAGGGUCGUGCCUGGUUAGAACUAGGAUGGGAGAAUGCUGGGAAUACCAGGUG
rnacentral:rRNA from 1 species